UAGGGAAUCUUCGGCAAUGGACGGAAGUCUGACCGAGCAACGCCGCGUUAGUGAAGAAGGUUUUCGGAUCGUAAAGCUCUGUUGUUAGAGAAGAACGUUGGUAGGAGUGGAAAAUCUACCAAGUGACGGUAACUAACCAGAAAGGGACGGCUAACUACGUGCCAGCAGCCGCGGUAAUACGUAGGUCCCGAGCGUUGUCCGGAUUUAUUGGGCGUAAAGCGAGCGCAGGCGGUUCUUUAAGUCUGAAGUAAAAGGCAGUGGCUUAACCAUUGUACUCUUUGGAAACUGGAGGACUUGAGUGCAGAAGGGGAGAGUGGAAUUCCAUGUGUAGCGGUGAAAUGCGUAGAUAUAUGGAGGAACACCGGUGGCGAAAGCGGCUCUCUGGUCUGUAACUGACGCUGAGGCUCGAAAGCGUGGGGAGCAAACAGG
rnacentral:rRNA from 1 species